GCCGGAGUGGCCAUAAAAGAUGAGUAAUGGCACGGAAGCCCCGGCCCCACGCCCGCCGGCUUCUGGGCUUCUGGGCUCGGGGCUGGGGCUGGGGCUAGGACCGGCGCCGGGAACAAAGCCUCCGCAUUCCUCCGGGAAGGUGUGCCUGAAACCAAACCUGUCACCGGCGAGAAGCUGGCCCCUUACCUCCCCCAUAGCCGGCUCCCCGGCUGCGAGGAGGGGAAGAGGAGGGGCCGUCGCCCGGGCGCGCGGGGUGGACCCGAUGGCUAGGUCGCCUCUGCUCACACCCCCACCCCUGACCGAGCGGCGCCCCCAACCACAGCCGCUUUCGGGAAGCCGCGCAGUCUGCAGGGCGAUAAUCCUGUUACCAUGAACGCCGGCUGUACUUGGAGAGCCAAUUCUCCAAGCAACAAGGCAGCUCCCUCGGCGCCCUUCCCGGAUAAAUUGGCCAGACAAUGAACAGAAACCCUGGGUCAUCAU